CGGAGGAGAGGAGGGAACGGAGGAGAAGAGGAGGAGCUGAAGCCCCGGAAGUGCUCAGGGACGGGCCAUGGCCGUACAGCGAUAUGGCGGCGCCCGCGAUCUGUGUCUCCUUUGCACACCCUGGUGGUGUCACUCACAGUACUUCUGUCACAUCUACUGAAGACUGUUACAGUAUUUCUACUUUUGCUGCCACGCCCUCAUCAAGCGAUGGUCCUCCUUUUGAUCCCGGAGAUGCCAUAGAAGCAGAAGAAAGAUGAAAGGAAAUGUCUAUUCAACCAAGGUGAACUGGAUGCUUUGGAAUACCAUUCAAAUUUGUCUGUUCAACAAACUCAAUCAGCUGAGGACAAUAUGAGCUGUUUGUACACGGAUCUAGCAAGACAAGAUAAAAGAAGAAUAUCUUCUGCAAGUUAUAUUCAUUUCUGAAAUGAAAGGGGAGAACACCCAGCUGUAAUCUUAAUCCUUGAGAGAGAAACAGUUUUACCAGCUGAGUUGAAGCAGGGGCUGUGGCUGUGGAGCUGAGGUCCUCACACGAAGCACUGAUGAAAGCGUUGCUGGUCAACAUCACUGCAGGAUGUUGGGCUGCUUCCCUGUGCUGACAGGACACUGCUGGCUCCAGAUGCGAGCUGGGUCUUCUUAUAGAUACAUAUUGUAUUGUUGGCUUUUUGCAAAUAUUAAAAUGAAUGUUAUGUGCAUAAGAUUGGAAAAUUUUGUUGUAUUAAUAUAGUUUCCUUUAUUUCUGUUAUUGAUGAAACUUAGAUAUAGUGGUAUAAUACAUAUAUGUUGGGCUAUGGCAUAGUAUUAAAACAAAAACUACUUUUGUUUGUAUAACCCAAAGACUGAGAAAAAAUAGCUAGAGAACCCCUGCAUUCGUAAACUAUCUUAUCCAGAUGAAGACAGCAGUGACCAGAACUCUGGGGGAGGAAUUUAUUGCAUUUCUGUUAUCAGGGAAUGUAAAUCUCAAUGGCGCCAAUAAGAUUGAUCUAUUGGGAAGGGGGCAAGAGAAAACUAAACAAAAGAACACCAAAGAUCCUAAGAAGAAUGUCUGAAUAUGUAUGAGAAUUUAUGGAUAUGUAGUAGGGUUCUGUUUUUAAGGGACAAUCCUUUGUUAGCAAGGGGUGCUCUCUUGGCUGAAUGCAGAGACACCCGGCCGUAUCUGUGUACUUUAUUUUUAUCUCCCAGUUGUCUUUUUAUUAAACUUUUGAAUUCUAUAAGAAAAAUAUGUGAACCUUGUUUUUCACAGUGGUCAGCUACUGUUAGUGGUGUUACAGUGUUAUUUCUCUGUCAAGGAGCAUUUCUGUGUAUACUGUACAGAGGUGUAAGAGAUAGGGGUAGACAAUCAAGAUACUUUACAUAUUAUGUUCUUACAGUUUUUCAAACCCUUAAAUAGUUCCUACAGCCAUGUUUUACUUCUCUGUAAGCUGCUUGGAACUUGCUGGAAGUGGCAGGCUCCAAGCAGGGCCACCAGGUUAGAGGCUUGUUCACAGCUCAUUCAGCAGUUACUGGGUUGGUUCUUCCCUUUACAAAUGUGCCAGAUUCAGGGGCCCAAAUUAGGUAUUUAACUACAGGGUGUGAGUAUGAAACCUUUUUCUGGCAUGCCAGAUUUCAUGGAAUUGGCUGUGUGAUGGAAUAUAGUCAACCUGUGGUGCUUGGAAAGAUUUGUCUCAUGGUUGAUAGUGCCUCUCAGAAAGAGACUAUGCAUUAAUAAGACUUGUUAGUCUUUCUAAAACUGUAACUUUAACGAAUGCUGGCUGUUGUAUUUACCCAUUUAUGUCUCACUGUAAAUCAAUUUAGAAUUAUUCAGAUACUUAAAGCAAACUCAGACCUCUCUAGUUUGUCUACGACAGAAAUGGAGACUGGUGAGUCAGUAAGGGAAAUCAGCUCAUUUUCUUCAUGUAAUGUAUUUUAGCAGAACCACAUUACAUUAUCCUGAUUUGUGAUGAGUGAUUUCAAAGUCUGAAGUAGACUGUGAGGAGUAUAAAAUCCUUCUUAUUUAUAAUUUUGUUCUGCACUGAUAUUCAGUAAAGCUUAAUAUUCAUUACAGUUCCUCCCUGAAAAGGAUGCAAGUUGUGUUGCUGGUUUAGCACCAUUUUUCAGCUGAAGUUUUAGGCAGAAGGGUGAUAAUGUCUGUGCAUGCAACAAAAUUGAUGCUGUGUUGCAGAACUUGUUUUGGCAACAUCAAAUAAGGGUGAAUUUCUAUCUGCUUUAAUUCUCCUAAGUUAAAGGAGAGAAGACAGAAAGAGUUAAACAUUAAGGUAGUAUUUAUUUCGUACUUAUAAACUAGUAGACAAACUUUUUCAGAUUCAUACUUGGAAAAAGAAAUUGCUUUAGUGGAAAAGUUCUAUAUUGAGUAAAUACCAAAAAAAUAAUCUGUUUGCUGAGAAAAUAAAUUAUACGACAGAAACGAAAUCAGUUCCUAGUAUUUCUCUUCUGUCUGAGGGGUGUCUGACAGGACCUAUAUUCUUUCUUGCCCAUGACUAAAGCACAAAAUGAAAUAUUUUCUUGUCUUUCAUGGCAAAUAUGUAGUCUUGGAUUCUUGUUAUUUUAUUACCUUAUCUGAGCUGUGCUGGCUUUGCGACCUUUUCCCUGCAGCCACCAUCUUUGCACAGCUCAGCUGAGCUGUUUUGGCUGAGCCAGGAAGGAAAACGAAGCAGAGACUCUUAACCUUUUUCUCAUACAACUACGACGGGGAGUGUCCUUGCUAUCCCACUUUGGUUGCUGUGUUGGAUGGAAAGGAUGGGUACAGAUCCUAAAACAGCAUUGCCACACUUCAAUCAAAUUCAAAGUGGGUUCUCCUCAGAGAUGCAAGUAGCUGAGGUCUAAAUUCAUAUAAAUGUGGUAGUCUCUAUUAUGUCUUAUAUUUACCUAGGCACAUAGAAGAGUUGCAUAAAAUAACAUUUAAAAAUAAAUAAUUGGUUCAUCUAUUCUUGUCUACAUUGUGGGGCUAGCUGGUAACACUGUAAUUAUCUCAUGCAUAAAAAGCCUGAUUUCAGAUCAUUACACUUUUUCAGCCCUGGUAUAAUGCACAAGACCUAUCAUGAUUAAAUUAUGGGACUAGAUUAAAUGUGAAAUGCAAACUUGUAAAGGAAUUGGCUAGCUCUGUACAGGGGCAUCAUUUUAUUAAUCUGAAAGCAUAAUAAACCUUUAACUUCUACAGUACAAAUGCAUCUGCAUAAUUGCUUACUGCUGUUGGGUAUUUUUCUUCAACAAAGCCAAUAAUUCUAGAAUGCCUAAAUAAUGGAGCUUUUACAUUGUUAAAAGGAAGGUUACAAUAAGGUUUGUCAUGGUCUUAGUUGUAUUUUGAACUCAGGGUCUAAAAUGUACUGUUUCUCAUAGGAAUAAUGGGAAAAUUUUUAAUAUACUUCAAGGACUGUAUUAUUCAUAUAUUCUUUGUUUGAUUUUUUUCCCUUAUUUUCUCAUUAAAACAAAGGCCAGAUUUUUUUCAGUUCUGUAGUGUUUUUUCUCUUAGAACUGCCAUUUUUUAUUAAAUCUAGGUAUCCUUUCCAUUAGGCUCACAGACGUGCUAGGGUUUAACAACACAAAUGUGUAUGAUUUCUCUUUAAGUUGGUUGCUAUUAGUCAUGUGAGUAUUUAGCAACUAAUUAUCAGUGUAAUAGGUAGCAGGUUUUUUUCUCAUGGAAUUUCCUACUAGGAACGAAUAAUGCAGGGAAUAAUGGGGGUAAAACCAACAGCUUUAUCUUGGAUUCCAUAAUUUUUUUGCUUCACUUAGGUUUGCCUGUUGUACUUUCCAGUUAUUUAAUAGAGAUAAUUAUUGUAGUGCUCUUGAAUGACGAGAGCCAUAAUAUAUAAUUUAGUAUUUUACUUCGAAGUGGCUUUUGUGUUGCCAAAGUGCCAUAAGGGAAAGCAAAUCCACUGUAGGAAUAAGGAACACGGAGGCUGAUGUUACAAGAGAUUACAUGGCUGUUCCUAUUCUCAGCAAACAAAGAAAAUCCUGUUCAAAUGACUGAGUUUUCAAAUUAAGGAGAACUGAGUCUUCUGUUUUAUAACUAAAUGCACCACAGUGUUAUGACUGGAACACUGGAAAGAGGAAAGCAGCCAGCAGUAGAUGAAGAUGUGUGUCAUGAAUCCACUGGGUUGAGAAUAGCCUGAGUGAAUUUAUUCUUUUUCUUGGAACAAUGUGAAAUAAACAGGGAGCUGCUUAAUAAAAAUCCA